rnacentral:rRNA from 1 species
GAUGAACGCUAGCGGCAGGCUUAACACAUGCAAGUCGAGGGGUAUAACACUUCGGUGUUAGAGACCGGCGCACGGGUGCGUAACGCGUAUGUAAUCUACCUUUUACAGAGGGAUAGCCCAGAGAAAUUUGGAUUAAUACCUCAUGGUAUUAUGGAUAGGCAUCUAUUUAUAAUUAAAGAUUUAUCGGUAAAAGAUGAGCAUGCGUCCCAUUAGCUAGUUGGUAUGGUAACGGCAUACCAAGGCGACGAUGGGUAGGGGUCCGAGAGGGAGACCCCCCCCACUGGAACGGCGACACGGACCAGACUCCUACGGGGGGGAGCAGUGAGGAAUAUUGGACAAUGGGCGCAGGCCUGAUCCAGCCAUGCCGCGUGCAGGAUGACUGCCCUAUGGGUUGCAAACUGCUUUUGUACAGGAAGAAACCCUUCUACGAGUAGAAGAUUGACGGUACUGUAAGAAUAAGGAUCGGCUAACUCCGUGCCAGCAGCCGCGGUAA